AGGCCGCUCCCUGCGCGCGGUUGGUGCGGCUCCGCCGGCCCAGAGUGACGUCAGCGACGCGGCUCCGCUCCACCACAAUCAAAGUUGUCGCUAACACGCCGGGAAAAGGGAAGAGCCGGUCCUCUCGCUCCGGCCCCGGGAGACCGCGACCCGCAGGCGUGAGGCGGCGUGAGCCGCGGCUUCAGGGUUGUCUACAUACCCCGCUGCGCGCCGUCGUUUUGUGCCUGCGGGAAAAGUUCGCGCCGUGCGCGCCUCCCGCCCGCGGCAACGGGGCAUGGCCGCAGCGGUCGCGUUCCCGGGACGGAUCUCGGCCGGGAGGAACGGCCGCAGCCUGCGGUCGCCGCUUCACUGCAGUGAGAAUUGAAAAUUGCAAGCCUGCUAUGCGUUCCCUUCCUAUGUCUUCCUGCGAAGUACAGGUAAAUGACAGUCAAAACACAAAACUGUUUUUCAGUUAACAAAAUAAUAAUUUAAAUAGUGUUUUAAAAAUGAUUGUUUCACUGAUUAAGUUCCCAUCUAUACGACAGCUGUGUGCAAAGACAGCAGAUAUUUUAUGCUGUGAUGAUUUUUUUUUGUUUUCACAGCUUCUGGUCAAGACUUCCUCUGACUACUUUAGGAAGCAAAAGCAUUGAUAGUAGUCAUAAGCUCAAAUAAUGAGAAGUUUAAGAAGUGCUAAAUGAAUGCAUUAAAAAGAUACCAUUCAAAAUGUAAGAUCUGAUCACUUUUAUUCUUGUAUGAUGGUUAUAUACUAGCUAUUCAGACUGUAGAGGUUGAUUAAAAGUGAUUUAGUGAUUACAAAAACAAAAUGUAUAGAACAGCUAUAUGGAAACCUUUUACGCUGUUUUCUAAAAUGAAGUUUUCAACUUGCUGUACUGAAAUCUCCAACAGUGAAAACAACAAAGUUAUUUCACUGCUGUGUUGUUCUUCUCUAUCAAGAAGCUAUCUACUUCCAUUGAUAGACUAACAGAGAGCCAUCUUGCCACUGCAACUUAAGAACUCACAGCACAGGAAAAGAACAACUCAGUCGUCACCAGAGAUUCAAUCUGACACCCUUCCUAUUCACGGGACAUUGAAAGAAUGAGCAUAAAUACACGAGGCUCAAAGGAGACCUUACAGCAGCCUACCUGUACUUGAAGGGACCUGCAGGAAAGUUGGGGAGGGACUUCCUAUAAGGGCAUGUAGUGAUAG
ensembl:lncRNA